CUUUCCUUGAUGACGACUGGCGCACGGGUGAGUAACGCGUAUCCAACCUUCCCAUAACUACGGGAUAACCCGUUGAAAGACGGCCUAAUACCGUAUGAUAUCGUUUGCUGACAUCAAAUAACGAUUAAAGGUUUAGCGGUUAUGGAUGGGGAUGCGUCUGAUUAGCUUGUUGGCGGGGUAACGGCCCACCAAGGCUACGAUCAGUAGGGGUUCUGAGAGGAAGGUCCCCCACAUUGGAACUGAGACACGGUCCAAACUCCUACGGGAGGCAGCAGUU
rnacentral:rRNA from 1 species